AUGUCGAGUUCUUCAUCUUCCGCCGCCAUGAUUGCACCCUCGAUCGCUGCUCUUGGCCACACCAUCACCGAGAAGCUCACGCGCGAGAACUUUCUCGUGUGGAGGGCGCAAGUCCUGCCGCACAUCAAGGCGGCAGGGAUGACCGGCUACAUCGACGGCUCCAUCAAGGAGCCCGCUGCUGAGAUCGCCACGGAGAAAGAAGUCUCCGGCAAGAAGGUGGUCACCUUCGUGGCCAACCCCGAGCACGCCAUAUGGGUCACCCAGGACCAGCAGAGUUUCUCGUCGCAAUCCAGGGCGAGGGUGAUCCAGCUCCGCUCACAGCUCGAGCAUACCCGCAAGGGCGACCUUUCUGCGGCGGCCUACUUCACCAAGAUGAAGGGCAUCGCCGACGAACUUGCAGCCGCCGGCAAGUCGCUUGAUGAGGAUGAUGUGGUCGACCACAUCCUGCAAGGUCUUCUUCAUGAACCGGACUACAAUGGGUUCGUCUCCGCCAUCUCCACGCGCACGGCAACCGAGUAG
rnacentral:rRNA from 1 species